GACGGGGGGGGGCAAGUGUUCUUCGGAAUGACUGGGCGUAAAGGGCACGUAGGCGGUGAAUCGGGUUGAAAGUGAAAGUCGCCAAAAAGUGGCGGAAUGCUCUCGAAACCAAUUCACUUGAGUGAGACAGAGGAGAGUGGAAUUUCGUGUGUAGGGGUGAAAUCCGUAGAUAUUGGGAAGAACACCGGUGGCGAAGGCGGCUCUCUGGACCGAUACUGACGCUGAGGCGCGAAAGCGUGGGGAGCAAACAGG
rnacentral:rRNA from 1 species